GCAGGGGUAGCGAAGUGGUCAAACGCGCAGGGCUUAGGACCCUGUGGCUUAGUGCCUUCGAAGGUUCGAACCCUUCCCCCUGCA
rnacentral:tRNA from 1 species